rnacentral:lncRNA from 1 species
CUCGAAUGGUUAAAUUGUAAAGUCGAUCGUAAUUUAAUGCAUUAUAAAACAUGUGAACAAUUUGCAGUGACAGACCUAGAUGAGAAAUGUGUAUUUGUAACGGGAUCUUCAAAUUUUAAGUAAGAUUUUGUACUUGCUGGUGAACAAACAGAACAGCACAAAAAUCUACUGGAAUAAAGAAGAGAAAAGCAGCUGAGGAAAAUAAAACAAAAAAUC